UCCCUUAGAUGUCCUGGGCCGCACGCGUGCUACACUGAUGCAUACAGCGAGUACUCUCCAGCUCCGCGAGGCAGCUGGUAAUCAGCAAUAUGCAUCGUGCUGGGGAUAGAUCUUUGGAAUUAUAGAUCUUGAACGAGGAAUUCCUAGUAAGCGCAAGUCAUUAGCUUGCGCUGAUUAAGUCCCUGCCCUUUGUACACACCGCCCGUCGCUCCUACCGAUUUCGAGUGAUUCGGUGAACCUUUUGGACAGCGUCAGUCUUCGUGUCGGAUGCUGAAAGUCAAGUAAACCAUAUCACUUAGAGGAAGGAGAAGUCGUAACA
rnacentral:rRNA from 1 species